GCUGCCUAUCACAUCGCAAGUCGAGCGGACAGAUGGGAGCUUGCUCCCUGAUGUUAGCGGCGGACGGGUGAGUAACACGUGGGUAACCUGCCUGUAAGACUGGGAUAACUCCGGGAAACCGGGGCUAAUACCGGAUGCUUGUUUGAACCGCAUGGUUCAAACAUAAAAGGUGGCUUCGGCUACCACUUACAGAUGGACCCGCGGCGCAUUAGCUAGUUGGUGAGGUAAUGGCUCACCAAGGCGACGAUGCGUAGCCGACCUGAGAGGGUGAUCGGCCACACUGGGACUGAGACACGGCCCAGACUCCUACGGGAGGCAGCAGUAGGGAAUCUUCCGCAAUGGACGAAAGUCUGACGGAGCAACGCCGCGUGAGUGAUGAAGGUUUUCGGAUCGUAAAGCUCUGUUGUUAGGGAAGAACAAGUACCGUUCGAAUAGGGCGGUACCUUGACGGUACCUAACCAGAAAGCCACGGCUAACUACGUGCCAGCAGCCGCGGUAAUACGUAGGUGGCAAGCGUUGUCCGGAAUUAUUGGGCGUAAAGGGCUCGCAGGCGGUUUCUUAAGUCUGAUGUGAAAGCCCCCGGCUCAACCGGGGAGGGUCAUUGGAAACUGGGGAACUUGAGUGCAGAAGAGGAGAGUGGAAUUCCACGUGUAGCGGUGAAAUGCGUAUAGAUGUGGAGGAACACCAGUGGCGAAGGCGACUCUCUGGUCUGUAACUGACGCUGAGGAGCGAAAGCGUGGGGAGAGAACAGGAUUACAUACCCUGGGAGUCCACGCCGUAUA
rnacentral:rRNA from 1 species